rnacentral:rRNA from 1 species
AGAGCGAACGCUGGCGGCAGGCCUAAUACAUGCAAGUCGAACGGAUCCUUCGGGAUUAGUGGCGGACGGGUGAGUAACACGUGGGAACGUACCCUUUGGUUCGGAACAACUCAGGGAAACUUGAGCUAAUACCGAAUGUGCCCUUCGGGGAAAAGAUUUAUCGCCAUUGGAGCGGCCCGCGUCUGAUUAGCUAGUUGGUAGGGUAAAGGCCUACCAAGGCUACGAUCAGUAGCUGGUCUGAGAGGAUGAUCAGCCACACUGGGACUGAGACACGGCCCAGACUCCUACGGGAGGCAGCAGUAGGGAAUCUUGCGCAAUGGGCGAAAGCCUGACGCAGCCAUGCCGCGUGAAUGAUGAAGGUCUUAGGAUUGUAAAAUUCUUUCAGCGGGGACAUAAUGACGGUACCCGCAGAAGAAGCCCCGGCUAACUUCGCGCCAGCAGCCGC